CUGAUACUCCCUCCGUCCAAAAAAGUUUGUCCUAAGCUUGUUCUUCAAAUGGAUGUAUCUAGCACUAACUUGGUGCUAGAUACAUCCAUUUGAGGGACAACCUUUUUCGGACGGAGGUAGUAUAUA
rfam:Triticum aestivum genome assembly, contig: Triticum_aestivum_CS42_TGACv1_scaffold_113155_2AS